rnacentral:rRNA from 1 species
AUACGGAGGGUGCAAGCGUUGUCCGGAUUUAUUGGGUUUAAAGGGUGUGUAGGCGGUGUAUUAAGUCAGUGGUGAAAGCCUGCGGCUCAACCGUAGAACUGCCAUUGAUACUGACACACUUGAGUAUGGACGAGGUAGGCGGAAUUUAUGGUGUAGCGGUGAAAUGCAUAGAUACCAUAAAGAACACCGAUAGCGAAGGCAGCUUACUAGGCCAUAACUGACGCUGAGGCACGAAAGCGUGGGGAGCGAACAGGAUUAGAUACCCCAGUAGUCC